AAUCUAACAAUAUCAACUUACAAUGAAUUUAUAAGAUAAAUUGACAAUGUAAAUUUAAAAUGAAAUCAGUUGCACUUAACAACAAAACAGAUCCAAAAGUUAAAAAAAAUUAAUCAGUAACAAUUAAAAAGAUUAAUACGACGUACAUAUAUCAUUUGAAAGAAAUUAUUACUGGAAAAAUUAAACAAGUGGCAGAGAGAUGAAUCGAUUUUUGGUGAUUAUAUAGUUGGCAUCUUGGAGAGUGAUGAAAUGCAUGAAUAAAAAGCAGAUACUUUACAGGAACUGUUAGGUGCAGUGGUGGGUGAUACAAGUUAAUUUUAGUUAAAAUGAUAUGAGGAAAAAGCACGAAAAAUAUAACCUGUUAACAAGGCACUCCAAUAUACAGAGGAAGAGCGUCAGACACUUUCAACCAAACACAAAGAACAUAUAUAUCUCGAAAAGACGGAUUCUUUCCAUAUGGGCGAAAGAGAUUGCAGACCAAAUAAACAGUUUUAAAAUGCCUUAUUUUAAUUUCUUUUUGAAGUCUAGCACUAAAUCCAUUUCAAUUUACAUAAUCCUAACCUCAUAUAAGAAAAAAUUUUACAAGAUUUUGUUCUAAAAGCCUAAUGUGGAAGUGUUUUGUCCGAAUAAUAUUAUGUACACUAUACACUAUUAAACAUGUCAUUUCAAUAUCAAAGAACAUAUUUAUUGCCA